ensembl:snRNA U4 U4 spliceosomal RNA
ACCUUUGCACAGUGGAAGUAUGGUAGCUGAUGAGGUUUAUCUGAGGUGUAAGUAUUGCUAAUUCAAAACUUUUCCCAAUAACCGGCCAUGAUGACUUGAAAUAUGGCCGACAUUGGCAAUUUUCGACAGUCUCUACAGAGA